rnacentral:rRNA from 1 species
UCUGCAACUCGACUACAUGAAGCUGGAAUCGCUAGUAAUCGUAGAUCAGCAUGCUACGGUGAAUACGUUACCGGGUCUUGUACACACCGCCCGUCACACCACGAGAGUUUGUAACACCCGAAGCCGGUGGAGUAACCUUUUAGGAGCUAGCCGUCGAAGGUGGGACAAAUGAUUGGGGUGAAGUCGUAACAAGGUAGCCGUAUCGGAAGGUGCGGCUGGAUCACCUCCUUUCUAAGGA